rnacentral:rRNA from 1 species
AUUGAACGCUGGCUGCAGGCCUAACACAUGCAAGUCGAGCGAGCGGCGGACGGGUGAGUAAUGUAUGGGGACUGCCCGAUAGAGGGGGAUAACUACUGGAAACGGUGGCUAAAACCGCAUACUGUCGGAUACACCCUAUGGGAUUGUCUAGUAGGUAAGGUAAUGGCUUACCUAGGCUACGAUCCAUAGCGGGUCUGAGAGGAUGAUCAGCCACAUUGGGACUGAGACACGGCCCAUACUCCUACGGGGGCAGCAGUGGGGAAUAUUGCACUAUGGGCGCAAGCCUGAUGCUGCCAUGCCGCGUGUAGGAAGAAGGCCCUAGGGUUGUAAAGUACUUUCAGUCGGGAGGCGUUACCGACAGAAGAAGCACCGGCUAACUCCGUGCCAGCAGCCGCGGUAAUUG